GCGAAUGCCGGGUAAGGGGCGGGGGAAAGAGGAGGGGGGCGUGAGUGGUGCGGAAUCACGGGGCGGAAAGCGCACGUAGGCGGACUCUUAAGUCGGGGGUGAAAUCCUGGAGCUCAACUCCAGAACUGCCUUCGAUACUGGGAGUCUCGAGUUCGGGAGAGGUGAGUGGAACUGCGAGUGUAGAGGUGAAAUUCGUAGAUAUUCGCAAGAACACCAGUGGCGAAGGCGGCUCACUGGCCCGAUACUGACGCUGAGGUGCGAAAGCGUGGGGAGCAAACAGGAUUAGAUACCCGGGUAGUC
rnacentral:rRNA from 1 species